rnacentral:rRNA from 1 species
ACGACUACAUUAGAUACCCCGGUAGUCCCAGCCGUAAACUAUGCGCGUUAGGUGUAUCGGUGACCACGAGUUACCGAGGUGCCGAAGGGAAACCGUGAAACGUGCCGCCUGGGAAGUACGGUCGCAAGGCUGAAACUUAAAGGAAUUGGCGGGGAGCACCACAACGGGUGGAGCCUGCGGUUUAAUUGGACUCAACGCCGGGAAGCUCACCGGAUAGGACAGCAGAAUGAUUGCCGGGCUGAAGACCCUGCAUGACUAGCUG